UAAAAAUUUGGUGUGGGUGGAAAGAAUUUUGGUCAAGGAUGAUUUCGCGGCCUAUCAGCUUGUUGGUGAGGUAAUGGCUCACCAAGGCGACGACGGGUAGCCGGCCUGAGAGGGUGACCGGCCACACUGGGACUGAGACACGGCCCAGACUCCUACGGGAGGCAGCAGUGGGGAAUAUUGCACAAUGGGCGCAAGCCUGAUGCAGCAACGCCGCGUGAGGGACGAAGGCCUUCGGGUUGUAAACCUCUUUUAGUAGGGAAGAAGCGAAAGUGACGGUACCUGCAGAAAAAGCACCGGCUAACUACGUGCCAGCAGCCGCGGUAAUACGUAGGGUGCAAGCGUUGUCCGGAAUUAUUGGGCGUAAAGAGCUCGUAGGCGGUUUGUCGCGUCUGCUGUGAAAACCCGAGGCUCAACCUCGGGCCUGCAGUGGGUACGGGCAGACUAGAGUGCGGUAGGGGAGAUUGGAAUUCCUGGUGUAGCGGUGGAAUGCGCAGAUAUCAGGAGGAACACCGAUGGCGAAGGCAGAUCUCUGGGCCGUAACUGACGCUGAGGAGCGAAAAGCAUGGGGAGCGAACAGGAUUAGAUACCCUGGUAGUCCAUGCCGUAAACGUUGGGGAACUAGAUGUGGGGGACCAUUCCACGGUCUCCGUGUCGCAGCUAACGCAUUAAGUUCCCCGCCUGGGGAGUACGGCCGCAAGCUAAAACUCAAAGAAUUUGACGGGGGCCCCGCACAAGCGGCGAGCAU
rnacentral:rRNA from 1 species